AAAAGUGCGGCUACAAAAAAAAAAAAAAAAAAAACAAAAAGUGUGGUGACAAAGAGUGCAGUGUGGAAAAUAAUAUACACAUACGAUACAUAUAUAUGUAUGCAAGGUGACACGUGGUGACAAAAGCAUACAUAUGUACACAUAAUAUAAAAAGAGAUUGUGCAGUGACAUACAUAUUCCCUACAAACAAAGGAAUAAAUCAUACAAAAUCACAAGCUACAACACUAGCAACAAAAGGACUGGAGAACUGGAGAAGCAGAAAACCAAGGACAGACACAAACGAAGCAAAGCACAAGCACUGGCAUACACACACGCACACGCACAAGACCCACACAUCCCAGCAAAACCUGCGUGACCGAAACUCCCACACAUUUACACAAUUUUUACUUAUUACUAACACACCCUCACAAAUCAUUUAAUUGCGUAAAGAGUCUAUCCGCUGUGCCUUUUGAUUGUUUUAUAUUACAAGCUCUUCACACAACAUCUUUUCUAUAAAAACAAAACAAAAGAAGACAAACUGAUUUCGGACAUGCCACUGUUUAUGGAAAACGAUGCAUGUAAAAGUAGACAACAUGAUAACAUGAUUGUUUACAUUCGUUUAUUCGUUGCGAAAAUUCGAAUUCAAAGAAAAAGAAAUUCGGCACGGGUGUUAAAUUGUGAAAAAUUUGUAUUUUGGUUAUAUUUUAUAAAAAAAAGUUAUUAAAAACGUGAUUAUAAAAGUGGUAUAUAUAUAAUUUGAAAAGGUGAGUAAACGGAGUUAAUUUUAAUAUGAAAAAAAAUACAUUUAGUGCUUACAUGAGCCGAGAAAAAAAGGCUUUUAAUGUCAGUGCCUCCAAAUUUGCCAAAAUAUGUAGUAUUAAUGUGAAUUCUGAUAGUGAUUCAAAUGUGGAAGAAUUGAGCUCCGUAGAUAUAUCUUUAAAUGAUUAUGAUAGCCAAGAUACCAUUGAUAGUGAUAGUGACAAUGUUAAUAUUGUAGUGAAAAAUGAUAAAUGCAAAGAAAUAAAAGCUUGGGCUUUACGUAAUAGGGUGUCCCACAAUACAGUGACUGAUUUGCUUCAAACCUUGCGAAAAAUAGGUUUAGUGGAUUUGCCCUUAACAGCAAAAAGUCUAUUAGGUACAAGUAGAAAAAAAGGUUAAUAUUGAAACCAUUCCAAGUGGCCCGUUUUUAUAUAGAGUAAUUCAAAAUUAUUUUGAGAAAAAUUCAUUUCCUCACCUUGAAAUAAAAGAUAGCAUUGUACUUGAUAUAGGAAUAGAUGGUCUUAAAUUAUUCAAAAAUUCGAAUAAGGUAUUAUGGCCAAUUUUAGCGUCCAUCGUUGAUUUUCCAAACGAAUUGCCAUUUACAGUAGCAUGUUUUUCUGGAACAGAAAAACCCUGGAAUAUUAACGAUUUCUUAAAAGACUUUUGUGAAGAAGUAGCUUAUUUAAAAGAAAACGGUCUUCAGGUAGGUUCUUCUUCCAUUAAAAAGAAAUUUAACAUUCGUUUAUUUUGCUGUGAUUCUCCCGCUCGAGCUUUUGUCACAGGUGUGCAAUCGCUCACUGGAAAAAACAGCUGUUCGAAAUGCGAUCAAAUCGGAGAAUACAAAGAGAGAAGAGUUUGUUUUUCAAAACGAGUUAAUCACUUAAGAACUGACCUGUCUUUUAAAAAUAGAAUUCAUAUUAUCAUAUCAUAUUAAUCCAUUUAAAUUUAGAGAAAGCAUUUUAGAAUUAGCUAAUUUAAAUAUGGUCUCCCAAUUUCCAUUAGACCCGAUGCAUCUUGUAGAUCUUAGUGUAUGUAAAAAGUUGCUUCAAUUACUAAUUAAAAAAGGGAAUAUAAAUGUAAGCAAAAUUAACGAAAAAAUAACUUUUCUCUCUAAUUUAGUUCCUUCUGAGUUUGGCAGGAUAUGUAGAAGUUUAGAUGAAAUCAGCAAUUGGAAAGCGACAGAGUUUAGGCAGUUUUUAUUGUAUAUAGGCAUAUUUGUCCUAAAAGAUUGUAUUAGUAGUGACCAUUACUACCAUUUUUUAUUAUUGCACGCAGGAAUAAGGCUGUUAUCAUGUGAAAAAUCAUAUAGUACUGAAGCUAACGUUGCCCAACAAAUAUUACAAGAAUUCGUUGAUUUGUUUGGGAAUAUAUACGGAGACCAUUUAGUUAGUUAUAACGUGCAUGGUUUACUGCAUUUAACUGACUGCACUAAGCAAUUCGGUCCUCUAGAUCAGUUUUCAGCCUAUAAGUUUGAAAACCAUAUGCAAUAUUUAAAAAAACUUAUAAAUAAACCGAAUAAAAUCCUUCAGCAAUUGCAUUUAAGACUUGAUGAAAGAACUAAUACAAACAUUGAACCCAACAAAACUUUAAAAAUUAAUUUAUUUAAUAUAGAAUUUAAAAAAGAAAAAGAUUCUUAUUGUUUUAGUGAAAAAUUAGGGCCCAUAAAAGUAAUAACUAUGUCAGACGAAUCUGGUUGCGUUAUGGUAUCUGCACAUUGUUUUUAAGAUGUUGAAAAUUAUUUUGAAGAACCUUUAGAAUCGUCAUCGGGUUUAGGUAUUUUAGUAGCGAAGAAAUUAGAUAAAAAGGUAUUUAAAAUCAAAAAAGACGACAUAGUUUACAAAUAUUUCUCUAUUCCACAUGAGGGAAAGUUUCUCCUUAUACCCAUUCUACAUCAUUUAUUUCAUAAAUUUUCAAAUUAGGAUUUUUAAGUAUUUGUGUACAUAUAUUUUUCUCGGUUCAUUUUAUUACAUUUUCUUAAAUUUUUGGAAAAGAACUUCGAUACUGCCAAUUUUUAUUUCUCAAUUAGAUGGAAAAUAUAUUUGACGAAAUUGACUUGUAGGAUUGUCCAACAACGUCUUCAACUCCCGCAAAAGACCUAUUACAUUUAAAGCGUAAAAAGUUUAACACGUCUGGUUGCUACAAUACAGAGGUCAGCAUUUCAAAACGACCUGUGGAAGGAAACGAGGUUAUUGACAUUUUAACCACUAUUUCCAAACAGCUUGACGAUUUGACGACGAGGGUAUGCGAUUUGGAAACUAAAAUCGAUAAGCAUUUAAAAGAAAAUAUUAUUCAUAAAAGUGAAGAAAUGGAGCAGCAAAAAACGGUUCGUGAAUGCAAGGUCCUCAUCCGCAAAAUUCAUCAAUCGGUAUGCCGAAUGACUGGUGAAGAUGUCGACAACGUUCAAACCGAAAUUGCUUCCACCCUACCAUUAAAUACGCUCGCUGCAGCUUUGG